UCCAGAUGUGGAUGCCCGAAAUGUUUGAUAAUCGGGGGCAUCUGGUCUUCACGGCACGUCUAAAGCUGGGAAUCUCGACAGCUGCUGCACGACAGCAUCUUUUUUCGUCGUCGAAUUCAAGUUUUCGGGCAAACAUUGCCGAGCCCACAUUUAUUCGGGGAGCGAUUGACAUCUGUUAUUUUACGUCGGCAGCGCCGUCGGCCUUUUGAUAUCGCCAGUAGUCAAGAUCGCCUAGAUCCUGCGAUUUAUUUUUGUCAAAGCGUCAUCGUGACUCACAAUAAUGGUCAUGCAUGUAGGUCUCAAGUGCCAGAGACACUCGAGGACCGAGACCGCGAGUGCCGCUUCCGCUAAUUAAAAUUAUAAUUGUCAAUAAAGCACAAUGAAAUAUCGUCGUUGCCUAUAUACGUGCAGGCCUGAUUGUCUAACCGCAGAAAAUAAACCAUCUUGUGUCUUAUA